CAGAAUUCCCUUAAAAAGGUUCCAUAGAAGCUUAAUCAGCUCUCGUUUGUGUCUGAAGAGAAUGCUAAUCAGCCCAAAAUUUAAGUUCUUAAAGCUACUUUCAAGUUCGUUUAGGGGGCUGUAGAGAACGCUAUUCAGCUUCUAAGAGAAUGUCAAGAAACUUCUACGCGCCGAAAAAAAAAAUCCAAUUGACAGAUUGCUCUGACAACCACAUGUCAGAUUGCUAGGUUGCCGGUCUAUCAUGGUCUAUCUCAUUGAUUUUAAUUAUAUUGUUUUGAUUACAAAAGCUGCUUACACGCCUAGAGAAUUGAACCGCUGCUCUCUAGGUUGCAAUGAAACUCACCAGCCUCUCGACCAAUCCAGCAAUAGCUAAUUGCCACUGUAAUGAUUAGUAUUUAAACUUAAUGUCAUUUGAGAUGAUUGAGUGGGUUGGUCAAUAGAAGGUACCUUAUUUCGUUCAAAGGACUUUCAGUACACAAUAUGAAUCAUAACAAAAAUUCGCAUCAUCAAAAAUUUAUUCGAAUAUCUUAUUUAACAUUUAUAAGAAAAAUUCGAAAAAAUCUUGAAUUCCAUUUGUAAAUAUCAGUUCAGAUAUAAACAAAACAAAUACCAUGACAAGAAAUUGACAGACAUUUUCGACAUGUCGCUUAGAAUUCCCAUAUAGGUUCUUUAAAACACCUUCAAGUAUCUUAAUGGUGCGCUUUAGAAUGUUACGCGAACGUUAUCGACCUUCUUGAAGAACAUUUUUGACAUGUCGCUUAGAUUUCCCAUAUAGGUUCUAUAAAACGCCUUCAAGUAUCUUAAUGGUGCGUUUUGGAAUGUAACGCGAACGUUAUCGACCUUCUUGAAAGAAGUUCCAUUAAAAGCGCUUAGAAGUUCUGUUAUCGAUAGUUUAACCUUUCAAAGGGCGAUGAGUAACUUUUACGCGACAAAAGUCACCUGAGGUUCCCGUAAUACAUUUUUUCAGCCAAAUGUGAACUUCGGAGUUCGGAGUUAAGUAAAAACGCGACUUUUGGUUGCUUGGGUAUCUACCAACAAGCUCGACAGGAUUGUGAUCUUGCAGAUAACCUUCGGCAGGCUCUCUCUAAUUGCCCCGACGAAGAGAAAAAGAUUUUAAAUUUUAUCCGACAAACCAAACAGGCAAGACUGAUAUAAAGAAACCGUCAAAUGACGACUACAAACAACGAAUGCCACUUGACACUGAUGAAUAGGGGAUGAAUAACGCGACAGCGUUAAAAUCCUAGAAAAAAGAAUUAAAAAAAAAAGUCUGCACUGGUGAAACGUGCUACGAAAAUCGAAUAGGAAAAUCCGCAGGAAAAUUCACAGAAGUAUUUUUGGCGGCUUCCAAUUUCAUUUUUUUAGCAUUAAGAUGUUUUGAUCCAGCAUUUUCAUAAACAUACACACCGCAGCCGUUAACCCAUUGCAACCUAAAGUAGGACUACACAAAUGGCCUAUACAAAUUCGAUGAUUCCACGACGAUUGUUUCCUCGCCCACACACGAUACAAACAUAUUUCACGCGCACACAAACGAUUGCGGGCGAAAACAGCACCAGCAAAAUUAACUCCUUCAAUAGAUGUCGGUAGCGAUUCGUCUGUUUCAGACGCUACUCGUGAAGUAUAUAAUAGAAUUUUUAGUAUAAAUCUCCUUAGGCAGUUUCCAGCUGAAAAUUUUAUGACCUUCGCCAAAUCAGAUUUCGAUCCUACAUUCCAAACACGUAUAAUACGAUUUGCAAACAUAUUUCAGGAAUUUCGUCGGUGUGUUAUGAAAAUCCCGAAAAUCCUGAACACGGAAAACAUCUCGACUUCAAAGAAAUUUACUUAAGUUCUUACUUAAGAAAGUUCACUUUCUUAUCAGAAUAAAUAUGCGUUAUCUUUGUUGUAACGAAUGGAAACGACAUAUAAACAUCUUUAGAAAAGAAAUUUUUCAAAAGAUGUCGGUAGUGAUUCGUUUAAUACGUUUAAUAAUUUACUUAAAUUUUAUUUACCCAAAUUUAUUCUGAUAAGAAAGUUCCUAGCGUCAGGCACUUUCUUAUCAGAAUAAAUAUGCGUUAUCUUUGUUGUAACGAAUGGAAACGACAUAUAAACAUCUUUAGAAAAGAAAUUUUUCAAUAGAUGUCGGUAGUGAUUCGUUUAAUACGAAGUUACGUGUGUUACGUCUGCACUGGUGAAACGUGCUACGAAAAUCGAAUAGGAAAAUUCGCAAGAAAAUUCACAGUAUUUUUGGCGGUUUCCAAUUUCAUUUUUUUAGCAUUAAGAUGUUUUGAUCCAGCAUUUUCAUAAACAUACACACCGCAGCCGUUAACCCAUUGCAACCUAAAGUAGCCCCACACAAAUGGUCUAUACAAAUUCGAUGAUUCCACGACGAUUGUUUGGUUGCCCACACACGAUACAAACAUAUUUCACGCGCACACAAACGAUUGCGGGCGAAAACAGCACCAGCAAAAUUAACUCCUUCAAUAGAUGUCGGUAGCGAUUCAUCUGUUUCAGACGCUACGCGUGAAGUAUAGUACACUCUAGGCCAUUAUAACCCAAAAUCAAGUUGGAAUGCCGCAAAAUCGGAUGAUUUUGGCUCCCGACGAAAAUGAGUUUGAGGGGGUUUUCCCGAACUUGAGAAUAGACGUCAUUCUCGCAACUUAAUUUUGGGCAUGUCAUAUGGUAGGGAUUUUUUUUGGGAUAUUUUUGUUUGAUGGCCCACUUAUCAAAAGUUAUUAUAAAUAUUUGAGAAAUACAAUUUGUUUUUCAUUAAAUAAAAUUAAUUUUAUUACAAAAUAAACUUUACACAAUAGCAUAGGUACUGAUCUCGGCAGUAAUUUAAAAAUCAUUACAUGAAACCCGAAUCUGAUUCGUUGUAAAAGAACAUCUUACCUUUACGAUACACCAACUGUGAGUGACCUCCACACCAAUCAGAAAGGAAAUAGGAACAUCCGAAUUCAUGUUUUGAUAAAUGUUAAUGGGAAAUUUCCGGAGAUUGGCACUAUUUAAAAUAAAGCAAGAGUCGUCCCAAUUUUCGGACCUUCCGGAGUUCCCGUCUUCAGUAAGUAGUGAAUGGCAAGUCCGACUUUUGCUCCAGAUCGCCAUCCGCUUCUUUCGGGUUUUUCAAUGGUUUCUUCUUCCUUCCUUUGCAUCGCCGGAGUACAGCGCAUUCAAAGGUACCGCUCCAGAAGAAAGAUUCCAUCCGAUACAAAUCCGCCUAAAAAACUUUAAAUAAGAUAAAAGAACGCCCGAGAACAUUGCUUUCAAAUCUACUUACCAAACUUUUUUUCCGGAACGAUCGACUGACUCGCUGGGAAAAAGAAACAACCUUUCUGAAAACAAAGGGAAAUUUUUUGGGGUGGUCAGUUCCAGCAACGAACUUUUGUUUUGGUGCAUUGACAACGCCCCAAAAUUAAAAAAGCAAGCUGAACUUGAUUUUGCUGCCUUGGCAAAGUCAAUUUUGGGUUGUUUUGAUUCUGAGUGUAUAGAAUUAUUAGUAUCAAUCUGCUUAGGACACAUUCCACGCGCUUGUACCGCUCAAAAGUGAUUUUUAUCCGUUUGCGUAAAAUCUCAAAAUUGUCUAUAAUUUUGAUAAUUAAAUUAAUCAGACAGAACCAACGGCAAAAAUAGAAAAAAGUUUUUUUACACAUGUUUUAGAUGAUUUUGAAAAUUAGUUUUUUUGUUGGAAAAAGUGGUGUUUUUGACAACUUUUACAAUACCAUUAAUUUUAUUAGAUGGAUGAUAUGUUUUUGGAAAUAUUUUUAGUAUGUUCAGAAGCCAAAAAACACGGCUUCAUUUUGUAGAAAAAAGAAUUUGUUUAUAUCCAAUCACAGAUGAACAGAUGUACAAGCUCGAACAAAAAAUCUUCAGAAACAUGUGUAAAAUUUCCUGUGCUGACUUUUAAAGGAGCCGUUAAAAAGUGACGAAAAACAGUGCCAUCUAUUGCAUGAUUUGUAACUAUUGAACGGCGCAAUAGAUGGCACUGUUUCUAGAUAGCUCUUUUGAAAGUAAGAAUUUUUCGAGAGGGCGAAAUGGUUUUUGAACUCAUUAAUAAAUAAAUUUAAAUGCAAUUAGAUGAAUUGCCCUACAUAAUAAGAUGAACCACGAAUAAAUUAAAAAUGAGAAAAAUAGUAUUAAAAUAAUUUUUCACUACACAAACUAACGAAAUGACAGAUGUUCUGGCUUCAAUUAUAAAAUUUCAGAAACGUGUGCAAAAUUUCAAAUGCUAUCAUUUAAACAAACCGAAUCAACUAUUUAAGAAGAACGCAAUUGUAUAUGAUCUCAAAAAUAAAUAAACUAACAUCGUUGAAGAAUGGUCGUUGUGCUUAAAAUUAACAAUUCAACGAAGAAAUACAGAUUCUAGGCUUAUCUGAGCGGGCAUUUUCACGCAUCAUAUAUGUUUAUAUUAGGUAAGCACUUCAUGCUAGUUUGAAGCAAUUCGAAAAACAGCUUUAAACUAAAAAAAUUUAUAACGCAUAUCAUAAAUGUGUAACGAAUCUUCAACUUCAAUUUGCUCGAAACUCGUCAAAUAGUAAUACGACCUUUUCACAAUUGACUAAAAGUUUGAUAUUUUGUUUUGUUUACAUUUCAUUUUCUUCUUGACAGUUCUCUCCGGUGUCCUUGGAGACAUCUGGUGGCUCAACCAAAAAACAUAAAAUUGAUUCAAAACGAUCGUUGGGACUUUACACACUUUUCGAGGCUUAGCUUGUACAUCAGUUAUCAGUGAUCCAAUGGAGUUGGUUUGAAAAGCGAAUAAAAACAGUCGCAAAUGAGUGAAUUUACGUUCAAAAAAAAGGGAAGAUUUUAAUUUUACGGGAAAACUGACUUUUUUGAAAUAAAAAAUGAGAUUUUCUUUGAAAAUGAUAAGACGAUUCUAAAACUCUUAAAUUUAUAAAAAUCGGUUGGAAUCUAGAUGACUUACAACAGCGCGAAUCCCAGCCAACAUGAAAUCGUAAAUGAAAUAGUCGUCGAACUCGUAUAUGGAUGCAACUCAAAUCGGAAUCGUAAAUAUGUACACUUACCAUUCGACCAUAUCAUAUACACAGAGAACAGACGUACAAGCUCGAACAAAAAAUCUUCAAAAAAGUGUGUAAAAUUUCAAAUGCAGACAUCCCAAAAAUAUGUUGAAAAUUGACUUUAAACAGUGGCACCUAUUGCGCCGUUCAAAAGUUACAAAUCAAAUUUUCAAGUGUACAGUUUUCGAAAAGGCGUAAUCGUAUAUAUGAACUCAUAACUAAACUAAUGCCGCUGGAAAUUUUACACAAGUUUCGUGGGCUAGCUUGUACGUCUGUUCUCUGUGUCAUAUAUUCAUCGUAGAAGAUGUAACAUCCAUAUGAAAUACGACUUAGUUACGAUGUGUUGGAUGAAGUCGUAUUUAGUUCCACCGAUGUCAAAAGAAAUCUUAUAACGAUCGCAUCUGAUUUCUUAAGACGCAUUUUAUUAGUACAUAAAUUACUUUCGAAUCGAAAUCGUAAAUGUCUUUGGAUAAAUUCGCAAAGAAUACUGGGCCUUAUUCUGCGAGGCGAAUGAAGUGACUCGGAGUCACAUUAGUCGUAGUCACGUGACUAUAGUCGGGGUAUUCUGAGAGGCGACUCACUCCAGGUGACUAAUUCAUCGCCUCGGGGGCUUCAUGUUCAUUUUGAUGUUCCAGAAGAAUGAACCAGUUUUAUCGGGUUCACCAUGCGAACUGUCAAACAUGUAAGGAACAUUCAAAGAAGGUAGUGUGGUAUUCAAUUUCUUGGAUGACGUCACAAUCAUGAAGAGCUUGAAAAUAAAGCAUUUAAUUUUUUAUGUAACCAAACCAAAAUUAAGAACCUUUAAAAAACAUAUUUCAAAUUAAAAGUUAAAAUUUCAUAAAAACAUUCUUUCAUAGAUUCAUAAUUUAGAUUUAUAGAUUUCAAAUUCCAUUUCAAACCAGAGUGUCAGAUUUUAUUUCACAUAUAUUUCAGAUUCAGGUUUCAAAGUUCAUAUUCUUUUGUAAUCGGAAUCAAAAGUUCAUAUUAAUUUUCCUCAUCUAGAUAAGUCUUUCGCUUUUUGGAAAUAGAAAAUUCGCCAUUGUUAGUUUCAAUAGCGAAACCGUUUUUUUCGUGAUUGCGACUGUUUUAUAUAAAAUUUUGUUGUUUUCAGUUGAUACCAACAAAAUAUGUUAUUUGUGCAAAAUUGAAGUUAAGUUUUCAUGAAAUCAGAUUCAGGUUUCAAAGUGUAUAUACUUUAUUUGCAAUUAAGUGAAAAAAGUUCCAUUCAAGUAUUUUCAUUUAAAUAGGAUAUCGUUUCUUUCAAACCGAUUCUUAUUUAGAACCAUAAAACUAAAUGGAGAAAACGUGCUUCAAAUUUUUUGUUUGAAAUUAAUGAUAAUAAACGCUCAUUUUUAUCAAUUUAUCAAAUAUAGAAAAAAGGUAUAAGCCAUUUCAAAUAAACGAUUUACAAAAAAAAAAUGUUCAUGAACAUUUGUUUAAUUCUAUUAUUUCAUUAAAAAAUAAGUUAAAAAAUAUUAAGAAUGCUCUCCAUUUUUCAGAUUUAAAAUGAGCUGUGAAUUCCCUUGAAAAAAAAUUGUGGGGCUUAUUCUGCGACUCAAGUGACGUGACUCACGAAUUUUCAUAUCUUUUUGCUGGCUUAAAUAGCCUCUCUAGCCUCGAAAUUUUCAUUCGGAUGAGCUGUUAGUGGUUUUCAGAGCUCAUCGAUACACAAAUUUCUUUCCUGAAGCAUUUUCUGGAGUCAGGACGAAGACGUGAAAAUUCGUGAAUUUUUAACAAUGGUCUACUAACACACACGCAAUUGACGAAAUGAUAUUUCUAUAAAACCGAGCUAUCUUGUUGCUUGACGGUUCAUUGGAGUUCAUCCGGAAUGAUUUUUGUCUAAUGUCAUUACAUAAAGAGGUGAUGCGGAUCGAAUUUAUUUUUUGUAAAACUUUAUUCCCAUGCAUAAUAUUUUUACUCGUGAAAAAGUUUCUUCAGUAUGCUAAAUAUUUUUUCCUAUAUGUGUCAUUAAUUCAAGCCUUAAAAUAUUCAUUCUUUGGCAGCAACAAAGUAAAUUAGCUUCCUGUUUCGGAUAGGCUAAAUUUGUUCAUUUAGGAACGUAUCACCUUCCAUUUGUGUUUCCUUGUUUUGUGCUACUGCAUUCAUUCGUAAAUGGAAAGAUGAAUUUCUUAAACUGUCAAAUUUACAAUGGCGGCUUGCGGCAGAAAAAAUGGUUCUGAUUUAGUCCGUGCAUAUUAAACUUUGUGAAACCGGAUUAAAAGUGGAUUUCAUUCUUUUGGGUUGAGAUGGUGAGUAUUUAUUCUAGAUAAUUGAUAGUAUUGAAAUUCUAAUUAAAAAUAAUAAUAUUCCAGGAGCUGGAAAUGACGGUCAAAUGGCACCAGCUUAAGGGAGGCGAUGAAAACAGAACUGGAGAUGUUGACGGACGACCCAAACAACCAACAAGCAGCAACGAAAUCGCGAUGGGGAUGAAAACUUAGAAAUAAUGCGGAAUAGGUGUAAUAAUUAGUGAAAAACUUGCAGCAAUUAAUCAACGGAAGCAUCUUUGGGCGAGUAAAGAUGCUUCCGUGUAUGCUGUCUGAUAAAGUUAUAUUUAUAUUUAGUGUAGUUACCCAUGUUACAAAAAUAUUUACUUUAAAUAUGUGUUAUAUACAUUUUAGAGCAGAUUUUUUUCUUUAAAUACAUUUUUUGUAUGAAUAUUUAAGCUGUUUGAUCAUAUUUUGAUAGAUUACCACUAAACAAAGAUGCGUGGCUAGAGUCGACUCAAAAAAUCAAAAGUUUUUUUUUCAGAUUGAUACUUCGAAAACUCCGCAUAAAGUGAAUUUUUUGCAAAAAACAAUAUUGGAAAACUUUUGGUUUUGUUGAUGACAAUCGUGUUAUUAGCACUUAAGAAUUUCAUUUUAGAUGAUACUAAGAAACAUAAAAAUAACAUUCCAGAAAUUAAAUUUGGAUAAAUGAUUGAACAAAGAUUAAAAAUAAGCUGCAGCUUUAAUCGAUCCUCAGAAUCAUUUCCAAAUUUUAAAGAAUUUUUUUUAAGGACUUAAGGAAAUUUAACAUUUCUUUAAGACUUUACAAAAAGCACUCUAGUUUAUGUGUACGGAUUUAGCAAUCGAAUAUUUAAGUAUUUAAUAAGAAUUAUAACCAUACUGUUAAAUUUGAUUAAGUUUUUUUUAUUUUUUCAACUAGUUUUUUUUUAAUUGAGACAUUUAAAACAAUUUGGGGCUGUUCUAUUUUAUUUUGGAUAUUUUUGUCUUCAAGUCACCUGCGAAAUAGGUAACGACUUCAAAAGUCACCUGGCACCGACUUGAGUCACGCCAUUCGCCUCUGAGAAUACGGUGACAGUCAAAAAAGUUCAUUCAAGUCACUAAAAGUUCAUUCAAGUCACGGCAUUCGCCUGCUAGAAUACGGUGACUAUAAAAAACUAAGUCGCUUCACGUCACUCGCCUCGCAGAAUAAGCCCCACUACGUAAGCAUCGUUUUUCGUAUCACUUUGUAUGUUUUAUAGAAUGUAACGUUAAGAGUUAAAUUGACACCGUGUCUUUCCGAUAUAGCUACAAAUAUUAUAACAAGUAAAAUUAUAAUCGUAAAAUCGGUCACUUCACCCACGAUAUAAAUAUAUUUAAUGCGAUCGGAUCAGAUUCGUAUUAAUAGAUACUUAGCGUUCGCCCACAUCUCAUCAUCAUUGCAUUUUUGCAUGUGCAUUUUUGCGAUCGUGCAAAGUAAACGGAUAAAAUGAGAUUUUAAAGGUAAGUUUUGAAAAAAACAACGUUGGCAGAAAACUCUCAAACAUUUUUCUUUCUAAAAUAACAGGUUUACUAUGGCUCAGAUAAAAAAAAAACACGCCUGGUAAUCAAAAGAAAAUUGAUGAUCUACCCAAUCUAAAAAAGUUGAAAAAGGGUCGUGAAUUGACGAAAAGGGAGGAAAGAAACGCGCACUUUCCGGAUUAGUCCGUUAUCCAGAGCUGUUAAGUCAUCUGCAAGUGCCCUAAAGAGAAACAGUCCAAAAGCAAUUACACAUCGCACUUAAAGGAUCUCGAUUUCGUUCGUGUCCCGAUUGUUGCGGAAAACCUGCUAAACUAGUGCAUCGAGUGCGUUUUUGUUUCAGUGCGGUCCUGUCCCAGACAGUCAGGCGAAUUUCUUCUAGCGGAACUGCGAUAAGUGAUCAAAUUGAGUGGAAUCGGCUACUUUACCUGAAAAGUACUUUCGCGAAGACGUACACACUUAAUCUUUUCUCCUGUGAUCGGGACAAUUUCGUUCUGUAUUUUCAACAGCUGAAAUUACAGGACGAUUUCAGGACAGAAAAACCGCUCAGGAAAACAACUGUCAAACUCACCUGUAGAAUCAAAACGGUUUUCUCCUGUAAUUUGCAGGAGUUUUUAAAUAUUCCUGUGGGCUCGAAACGUGUUCCUCCUGUGGUUUGUAGUGAAUUUUGCUUUCGUUUCCCCCUGGUUCUUAAAUCUUUUAAUUUUCCCACAAAAACAAAAUAACACAAUGAUUGUUUCAACUAUUUAAAUUUAUUUUUCACAUCUAACUUUUUUUUUAUUUGCACUACAUAUUUGGUUAUGUGGUAUUUUCACUAUCACACACAAGACUGUCAAUCUGAAAAACAAAAAGAAAAGAUUUUUAUUAUUUCACUAAAACGCCGCAUAGCAGCGAAACUUACCUAUGCGCCGUGAGAUCCAUGCAGGUGUUCUAAUCCUUGUGAUCCGGUCCAUGCCAACAAACGAGUUAACAAAUCUUGCACCCGGAUAUACCAACUAGUCAACGAAAUCAUCUCUAUUUCUCAUCAACAGCAACGAACGGAUACCGCAAGUAAAAAUGGCAAACUGAACUCUUUCGCGGGUUUUUAUUUUGUGCACUGGUGAGAAAGAAAAAGAAAUUCGGGUUGUUUCUAACAGGAUAGAAAGAGAUGGGAAAUUUGACACGAAAUGUGUCUACAGCGAUUCAGGAGAACACUGUUCUGAAUUCACGGGUUUGGUUAGAGUUCCUGUACUCUCGUAUAAAGUUUGUCUCGGAUUUCAGGAGAGAUGAGACGUCCCGCGAUUCAGAUGAGUUCUCAUUCGAAAUUCGUUCAAAUUGAGCAGUGUUCCUGUGAUACGGAGAAUCAUGGUCCCGAGCGGGAUAAAUGUAAUCUUAGUGUGUACCUCCGUAGCGGUUCAUGGCCAUCCAGCAGCUAUACCGCAGGCGGAUGAUCUGCGAUGUGCUACAACCGGGAAUGUUCUUACCCCCCAAGAAAAAAAAAUCAUGAUUUGGUCUGGAUACAACGGCGACAACAGCGUAUUAUUUUUACCGUACCAACAUCGGGUGCCACCACGGUUUUGCGUUUAUUUAUCCUGGACUAGGUCAAGAAGUCAGAACCCAAGCAACGACGAGGAAGUAGGGAGCCCAACCGUAUGCUAAGAAAGUUAACGGUAGAAAGCCAAGGUCAGACAAACCAUCAAGAAAUAAAUCCUGUGUGCGGGAAAAUUUUCUACGAUUAUCUGGUGGAAUUUUCAGCUUCGGUUCCACCGCUAAGAUGUGUAUUGAGGUACACAUUCUUAGUUAAUGUAGUGUUUGCGAGCAGAACCAAACAUAUACCAUCGGAUUUAUGGUUACACCACGGUUAUAGUCCAGUGAGGGUUUAAUCAAAGGACCAUUAAAAGAUCAACAUUAAGUUGUACGGGAAGUUGUCAUCAACUCGUACUCAAGGCUUACUUUGAGUAUCGAGGAAGGUGGCCCGGGCAUUCCCGCUGUACAGCCGAAAGAAGAAGGCGUCAAAAAUCCGGAGGGAGGGAGGCAGUUAGGAAAGUAGCGAACAGGACAAGGCCCGGUUGCGGUUCCUGCGAAGAUAUGUUGUUUUUAGAAAUUGAAGAUAAUUUAAGUGCAAGUUUUUUACUGUACCUAAUUGUGUAGUUUAUUCCAAUGUUUUUAUAAUAAAAAUCAGUCAAAAUCAUCAAUGAUAUUAUUUCUCCCUAGAGUCGCAUAUCAAUCCCAAUAAUACAUAUAACAUGCUACAUAAAGUGGUUCGCAAAAUCGAUUGAUGGUACAAAUCGUACAUGAAAACAUCCCAACUCGCAUAAAGUAUCGCUUAAAGAGUCCAUCAAAUGUCGAAUUGCAUCAUAUCGUACAAGCUUACAACACACAUCUUAUAACAUGUGACUUAAGUUGUCAAUCGAUGUUAAAAUCUCUGAACAUCGUAUAAGACUGCAACACAUCUCGCAUAAAGGGUGACAUAAAUCAGUGAUUGAAUUUUGCUGAGCAUGAAUUGAUCAACCUUCUCUCGCUCACUGCUUUACUCGGAAGCAAAGGUUGCUUUGAGGCAGCGAAAACGACAAAAACGAUGAUGCAUACGCUCUCAAUAUGGCCCGCCUUCAAGAAGCAGUAUACAUUCGAGGCAGCGAAUCCAAAAAACCAAACGAAUGGCUCUCACCAGGGAUGCCACAUUAAAAUCGGUAUUUUUGAGUCCGAAAAAAUCGGUAUUCGGUAUGAAAAUUCCAAAAAUCGGUAUAAAUACCGAUUUUUUUUUUUCGAAGCUUUUAAUACUAUUUUUAUUGAAAGAAUAUUGAAAAAUUACUAUUUUGAUAUCGUAAUUUUUAAACAUGAUAUUUUCUGCCCACUGCGACUUUAUUGUGUUGUUCACUGUAAAAACUUUUAUCAUUUAGUAUUUUUAUGCUCCUUAAAUCUUUACACUGAAUACUACUACAUUAUGAAUCCAGAUCUUGCCUGUAUGUUCUUGUUUCAGAAAUACAACGUUGAGAAAAAAAUAAUUUCUACAAUUUUAAAAAUUGAAAUAAAUAAGACAACUAUUUUUUUUUUUUUUAGGGAUUUUCAUCCUAUUGGAUGAUUCAUCCCGUCUCCUACCGUGGCUAGUGUAAGACAACAACUAUUUAUGACAUCAUUCAAGAUAAUCAUUGAGUAUUUAACAUUAAAGGUCAUAACUUAUUGAACAACUUUGUUGAAGACAGCGAAACGAUUUGACUUUUUGUGUUUUUGAGUAUCAAAAAUUCAAUUUCGUUUUAAAUUUCUCUAAAAUUUCGUCAAUAUUCCCGUUUUUUGUGGUUUGGAAAAAAUUAACGAAAUGAAAACUUCCAUUACUUUUUUCUUAGAAAUCAAAAUUACUCAUGGUCUUCGAGAAUGUUGAUUAUUGUGUGGAUAUUUUCAAAAUAUUUGGAAUGUUUCAAAGCUUUGCCAAAAAGCGCACAAAUUUUUUUAAGAAUUUUCACCAGCAAAAGUUAUCACAAAAACAUAGAUUUUUUUUAAAAUUUUGUGGACUUGUGCAAUUUAUCAAGAGCGUACACUUAUCUUGGUUCCUAAAUUUGAAACCCACAACUUCAAGAUAUUAUUUGCUUAUAUCUUAAACUGCUAUAAUCUCUAAUCUACCAUGUUAUUCGAUAAUCAAAAUUUGAUCUCAAGAGAGUUGGCAAUAAUCUGAGACUUGCUGGCUAAAUAGGCACUAGAAUUAUAUUGUUUCAUAAUUUAAAUAAGGAAAAAGAUAGUUAUAGUUAUAUUUUGAAAAACAAAAUCUGUCAGAACGAAUUUUUCAAAAAUCGGUAUGAAAUCGGUAGGUUUUGCCAAAAAUCGGUAUUCUGUGAAUACCGAUUCUUGGUCAAAAUUUUUGUCAAAAAUCGGUAUGAAUACCGAAAAAUCGGUAGGUGUGGCAUCUAUGGCUCUCACUCAUCUCCUGUUACAACCUUGAGGGAACCGAAUUCAAAAGGCAGAGCAAACCCGAGUCUCCUCGUUUGUGCCUGGAUCGAAUGCGUGAGGUUUUUCUGCUAUUGCUAUUAUUGCACAGCAACCGCACGCAGGCAGCUAGUUUUUUCGUUUCUUUUUCCUCCCCCCUCUUUGCACUAUACGUUGCGGGCCGUGCAACGCAAUAAGUUCGGUUGUUUUUGUUGUUGCCUCAACCUUUGCGGCGAGGUUGAAGAUGUUCUCCUCAACGACAGCUAUCGGCUGGAGUUAUUCAAAUUAGAACAACGUAAAUGAGUAUGUGUGCCUCGUCUUCUUCAUGCAUCAUGUAGCAACCGAACGUAGAGAGAGUUCGUUCGGGGCAGCAAACGAAUAGUGUCUCUCGCAUAAAGGGUGACUUAAAUCGCCAAUCCAUCGAUAGAUUGCUUCAAAUCGUACAAGAGUUCGGCACACCUCGCAUAAAGGGUGACUUAGAUCGCUAAUUCAUCGUCAGAUUACUUCAAGUCGUACAAGAGUUCAACACACCUCGCAUUAAGUGCAUUAAGGGUGCCUUUAAUUGCCAAUUUAUCAUCAUAUCGCUUCAAGUCGUAAAAGGGUAAAACAUACAUCGCAUAAAGUGUGGUAGGAACUGUCAAACAACCUAUCAUCGUAAACGUGCAUGAAUCGAAUCCUUUGAUGUAACGUACAAAAUGUUGCCGAUGCGACAUAAAGUACGUAAGUAUUUCUGACGUCGUAAAAAACAUCAUAUAUGAUGUUGUCGUAGUCGUAAACCAGAAAAUAACGAAAACAUGUACGUAUAUCGCCUCCACUUUUGGUAGGUAUAUGCUUUUUUCUAACGUCAUGUACGAUGAUUAGUGUCGACAUAGACGUACGUAUAUCUUUUGAUAUACCUACCAAAUUGGACCUACCUGUUGGCUGGGAAUGAAUGAAUUCACAUCACAAAAUUUGAUUUUUUGUUAAAUUUUAUAUGAAAAAUUUGCUCUGAAAGCUGUUUUGACCCUCCAGAUGGUCGGAUUUUUACAAAUCGAGCAUAAUUUGGUUGAUUUUUUUUAAUAGGUUCAUUAUUUUCAAAUAAAAAUACAAAAAGAUUGAAAAAAAAAUAAAAAACUUUUUUUGGUGAAUCUUAAGAUGAAGACAGUAGUAAUUUUACCAUAUGAUCCCUCAAUAUGUUGCUAUUCAAGUGCCAAUCAAAAUAAGGAAAAAGUUAGGUGCAGAUACUGAAAAUUUAUGAUUGUAAAAGUAAACAAAAUAUCUUUUUUUUUGUAUCGAUUAUAGUCGUUUUACAAUUUAAUCUUUAUGGCAUUCGCGACUUUAACAAAAUAUCGUUUUUGAAAGUGUAUAUAAAAUUUGAAGGCUCCAAAGAAUGGUUCAGGAUAACCACAGUAUAAAUUUAUAUUUCGUGACGUGAAUUCAGUCAACUACCCUGUUCUGUUUGAACUGAGUGAAUUCACGUCACAACUUUAAAUAAGCAUAACUUCGUUCGUUGUUGUUCAAUCGAGAAGUUUCGUACAUCAAAUUGUGGGUAAUUGUUUUCUUUACAACUCAUUCGAAGACACCGAUAUUCUAUUUCCACAUUUUCAAGUGAAUUGGUUGACUUCUAAAAUGAUAACAAUGCAGAAAAGUCCUGAAAAGCGAUUUCACGUCACGGUGGAAUGUGUCUUAGGCAGUUUCCAGCUGAAAAUUUCAUGACCUUCGCAAAAUCAGAUUUCGAUCCUACACUCAGAAAUGAAAAAAAUAUGAAAAUUAUUAUAUUUCAAUAACUCCGAUAUUUCUCUUACAUUAAUAUCCAGAAAUAUUAAAAAAUAACUAUUUCAGAUAUUUAAAUUUAUGCAUCCGAAUAAUUUCUUGGCGUGUAAUGAUCCAAUGCAUAAAAUUUAAUAACCGAGAAAUUAUAUAUUAUUUUGUUCAAACAAACGCUUUGUGCGUUUGAGUCCCAACUAAACGGGUAUGAGCACAUGCUAGAUUCUUCAGUUGCUAAAUGCCUUUCAACUUGACUGCAUGCAGAUCAGACUUGUAAACCAUCGACAUUUUCUCUGACAGUCGCACAGCCUGCUUUUAUCAGUAUCAUUGUUCGUGCCAUUAAACGAAUGCGACCGAAAACUUGCCGAACAGUCGACUACCAUCAAACGAAACGACAUUCAUUCUUCUUUGUGUGAUUGUCGAACAAAAUUUCGUGUCUUGGUACACGAGAGGGAUAAUUUGAUGGUCAAACGACCAUCAUUCCCGACAGUUUACGACAUCGCCUAUCUCUUUCACGCAGCAGAACUUACAGACUCAAUAAGCAAAUGCAAUCUUUUCUAUUCACUCCCUCCUGUUGAAAAAAAAAUUCGUCACUCUGCAGCGCCGGGUGAUGUUUGGAUGUGUUGGUCGAACAAUGUGGAAUGAUUAUCUCGAUUAUCUACGCAAGAGGGAUGACAGUCAAACGACUAAUCACAAAAAAGAUCAAAAUUUCGUUUUGCAUUUUUUUGCUCUCCGAUCAAACGAUUGCGCUCUCCACGAUUGUCACGAACGAUGUGUGGUGGUUGUCUCCGGAAAAAUUCAAACGAUGGUGACCAAUUACAAGCCUGAUGCAGAUUCCAUUCUCUUUAAAUAUUUAUCUGAAUCGUAUUUAAAAAGGAUGGACUCAAUUGCAGCAUGUAAUAUUACCAGCGAAAUGCACAUGUUUUUAUGCUAUGGUCAAUUAUGCACAUUGACCAUAGAACAUGGACGAAAAUCAAACGAUUUUCGUUUGGUUUUUCUGUUUAUUUCUGCUUUAAGCGUUUGCCUUUACGUUACGGCUCAAACUUUUAUUUCUGACCACCAGAUGUCGUUCCAUAACAUUUCUCAAUGCAUAAAUUUUAAUCGCAGAAAUAUUUCCCAGUGAGAAAUAUCCCAGUAAUUACACCAUGAGAAAUAUCCGUGUGCGUAAAGAGGGAGAUAUGUGAAAAUACCUAAAAUAUAACUGUUUGAUAUUUUAUUUAUUUCUUAGUGUACAUUCCAAACACGUGUAAUACGAUAUUUGCAAACAUAUUUCAGGAAUUUCGUCGGUGUGUUAUGAAAAUCCUGAACACGGAAAACAUCUCAACUUCAGAGAAAUUUACUUAAAUUUUAUUUACCCAAAUUUAUUCUGAUAAGAAAGUGCAUAGCGUCAGGCAGAAUAAAUCUGCAUUAUCUUUGUUGUAACGAAUGGAAACGACAUAUAAACAUCUUUAGAAAAGAAAUUUUUCAAUAGAUGUGUCUUAGGCAGAAUGUGUCUUAGAAAUGUGGUGGAAUGUGUCUUAGGCAGUUUCCAGCUGAAAAUUUCAUGACCUUCGCAAAAUCAGAUUUCGAUCCUACAUUCCUAACACGUAUAAUACGAUAUUUGCAAACAUAUUUCAGGAAUUUCGUCGGUGCACUGAACCCAAAUUCACUCUUAAAAUACACAUGAUUUUUCACUUAAAAACAAGGAUCCAGUGAUUUUCUUCCAUUCAAGUGCGACAUAUACAUUUUACUUGGCAGUCACUUAAAUUUCAAGUGAAUUCAUCAACAUUCACUUCAGUCAUCACUUGAAUUUGAAGUGAGAAAAAAUAUUCACACCCCGUCACUUGAAUUUCAAGUGAAUGUCGGGUUAUAAUUGUGUUUAUUUUCAGAGUUCAAAAUGGCAAAUUCUAAAGAGCAGCGUUUAAAGCUUAUGCUGGAUUUAGAUUUUCCCAAUUCUUUUGUAGGCGAUUUUGGCGGUAGUUGUGUUAAACGUGAUGUAAGAAAAAGUUAUUUAAAGGUGUUAUUAUGUUUCAGCUUGUGGAUUGAACUGGACAGAUUUUCUGGUUUGCAGCAGGGAAGAUUUAGAAGUCGAACUAUCCACAGUAACCGAUCUGCCUUUGGAUUACGAUGGAAUUUUCCAAUCAAUAAAUUUAUGGCGAAAGCGUAAUGUAAGUAUUUGAAAUCGAAGUGGUGUUCUAUAAAUGUUCUUUCAUUUAAAAACGCGAGAGAUGAUUAAUUAGAAACUUACUUAGAAAUUCAGAUAAAUUUCACUCGAACGUCAUAGUGUAAUUCACUUGACCGGUCACUUAAAUGAAUUCACUUGACCCAUCACUUAAAAUUCAAAUGAAAUUACGUAUGGCGAGAAUUUACUACAGCCCUGUCAGGAACGUUUGCUCAAUCGGGCCGAUUGCAAAACAGACAUGGCGGUACUCGAAUUCUAGCGGUUAGAAUUCGGUCGGUUAUCGGCUCGAUUUCCAUCCGCCUGCUCGAUUGCUCGAAAACAGACGAUAUUUAUCGCAGUGCUGCAUGAAAAAACGAAACACAGGCAGUUUUCAAUCGCAGCAAUAUGGGUGCGUGUUUCGUUUUGGUGCGUGAUUGUUGUGAAUUGUGUUGUGAAAUUUGGUCGCAGUUCUGUUUCUGCCGUUUCCGCUGUUUCUUUUCAGAAAUGCUUUUAGCGGUAUGUAGAAGAAGCCAUUGUCCGGCGAUAAUUUAAUAAAAAGCGAGGUAUGUUUGAUUGAUUGAAUUCUAAAUAAUCAAGUUUUAUUUAUAUCAUUUUCUAACCCUUAAUUGUCCCCAUAGAAAACAUCGAACCAUGCAAACAAAGCUUCCAAAGAAAUGUCCACACUGUACAGGCUCUGGUGGAAUGCUAUCCCGGACAUCGUAUCCGGAUCCGGAUCCCGGACACGCUCUAAGAAAACAUCGAUCCAUCGAAUUCCAAGGAAAUGUCCACACGGUACGGUAUCCAGAUCCGGAUCCCAGGCACGCUCAGAGGUGGUGGCUACACUUGGAUUACUUUUCAUCUAUUUUCGGUGUUAUACUUCAAAAGGAAAGCAAAGUGAGUACCGUUGUCACAAUUAUUUACACAGAAAAAAAUAAUGACUAUUACGUGUCAUUGAAUAUGCUCGCCUUUAAAAUAAUUCGACCUGUAAUUUAAAAAACAUUUAGUUUUAAAUCGGAAAUCAUUUAAAAUUACAGCAAAUGCCCUGUAACAAAAGGAGCAAGACAGUUGCCGUAGUUUUACUGGUCGAAAAAAAUUACGUGCUGUUGAAAUACGCGUCGUCCAAUAAUUUUAAAUUGCAAACUAAAAAAAUGAAGUCUGCCUGGCAUCCCAGUAUUCGUCGAAAGGAGAAACGUCAAAAAUAUCUCGCGCGGACAGUUUCUUUGUUUUGAUUUGGUUCUCUGUUGUUUUUACUUUGCAUUCUCUGUUGUUUUUUUCUUUGGCCCAACUUGCGUACUAUCUGUUGUUUUGUGCCGGAACAACUCCAGCACUUGCUCCGUACCGUGUUUUUUCCUGUCGACCAGACCAGAAGAGAUGCAGCGAACCGAGAAGUUCCGGUAGGCCAAAACAAAUUUGUGCAUCCUGGAACUACUUGAACAUCAUCCAGUAAGUGUUGUUACGUUAGCGACUGAGUGAUUUCAAUAAAUUUGAUUUUUGUAAAUGCUUUUCCUUUUUUGUUCAUACUUCAGACCGGAUUUCGAAGCGGCUGAAUGCAGUAAUAACUCAGUUCAUCUGUUCCUCCUCCGCCUCAAGAGAACCAUUAGUGGAUUUCGAUAGGGAGGAAUAUUACCAUGUCAAAACGCGGCGAAAGGGUGAGCUUUUUAUUUAAUUUUAUUCCCUUAAAAUAACUUCCUAAUUCUGUUUCAUUUGUCCUUCCCGUUACAAGCAGGAGUAUGAGGGAUGCGUCUCCUGUAUCGCUGAUGUAGAGAACAUUGAAGCCCGCAAGUUAAGGAAAGUAUGCCACUGUGGAUUGCCGAAGGUCACGAGUCUGCAAAGUUCGUUCAAAUACGCAAUCUGCCGUUUCCGAUUGUAUGUGGCGGAUGUUAAACGAUUUACACUGCAGCUCCAUGCAUCGCGCUGGGAUCCGGAGUUGCCUACGAAGGGAUUUUAAACACAUCAACAUGAGCAACGAAAGUACUACGCAUGAAUCUGUAGUGCUAUUUUUUCCCCUGUCGAUCCAUCUUCUUAGUGGCGGUAUCACCAUUUUAGAAAGGAACCAAUACUGUAUCUCCUUUUUGUUAACCACCUGGAUCAAUUUUAGCUGAUGGAAUAGGCUCAAAAAUUUUGCUGAUGGUAAAGUAUAACGAUUUAUUUAAGAAAAAUAGAAUUGUCCAAUACCAUCAUUGCACACUUAGAUAAUUAUUGGAUUGCCGAUUGAUAUGAAUACUUUUUAGGCAAUACAAAUUUAGUUGUUGAUCUAUCGGUUUAAGGUGGAUGUGAGUAGUUAAUCAAGCUAAGCUAAGCUAAGCUAAUACAAAUUUAGUUGUUGAUCUAUUUUUUGAUUUCCUUUUGGUUGCUAAUUGUUUCCCCCAAUAAAGAUACUGUUAAUAAAUUUGCUGUUAAUAAUAUUGUACUUUUAUUGUGUUUUAGUUUAAAUUAAAAUCACUUGCCAUUCACUCAAAUAAUAAUUUUUACCGAUAAAUCAAAAAGUGAACGAGAGGCACGGUUCGAAAUUCUAGGCCUGUAAUUUUCAACCAGCCUGUAAAAAUAUUGACUAAUGUCAUAAUAAAUGUCAUGUAAAUUUUUUUUAACCUGUAAAAUUACGGUAAAUGUCCUGCUCCUUUUUGUUACAGGAUAACUACAGCUAAUUCUACAGCUUUAAUUUUUUUCUGUCUACUAUUUACUUAUUAAACUGAUCUUUUUCAAGAUUUAAAUUUUAAUUCUUGUGGAUCCAAUCUAUAAACACAAAAAAAAUAUUGAUAAUUACGUGUAACAGAAAGUUGUUGCCUUUAAAACAAUUCAACAAGUAAUGGAAAAAAAUCGUUUUGAUUUAGCACUACCUAUCAGACAGAAAACACUAUCUCUUCAUUUAAGUUUGCUUUCUCUUUAGAAUAUUUUUUUAGAGAGUAAUAGAAUAGUACAGACUAGAACUAAUUAAUUCACUUGUUACUAUCGAAUUGUAUUUCCUUGACCCUAACUAUGAUUUUAUAUCGAUGGGCUGACGUUAAAUCAAUAAAGCACAAUUACAAUAUUAAAUAAAAAAAUGAUUUGAUUUUACAACAAAUGUCCUGUAACAAAAAGGAGCAUGACAUUUGUCGUAGUUUUACCGUUCAAAACAAAUUACAGCGUAAAAAUUACAGGUUCAAUAAUUAUUUUCAAGUUUUCAAUCCCACUUCAUCAAUUUCCUGUUCUGUUUAUAAGUAGACGAUAUCAAUCACGUUAUUUAAGUUAGAUAUAAGUUUGAGCUAGGCUUCUUAUUAUAUAUUGAUAGAUGAUAUGAACUAACACCUAUUUUGCUUUUCCUUUUUUCUCUUGUCUUUUUGUAUUUCUUUUCAUGUUGCCUUCUGAUGAUGGCGAAUUCGCGUCAAGUUUGGAAAACUCGAACAACCCUCAAGCCAUCUCUUCACAACAUUGUACCCCGAAGAUGGAUUUCGCAUGAUGUGGUUGUCAUCCCAAGGAUUUAAUCAACACCUGAAAAUGGACGAAUUGCUUAACAAGAAGAAGCUUGCGCCAGACAUCGCAAUGUCUUGUAGCAGAAGAGGUAACAAAAAAUAAAUUAGAAGAAAAAAACGGAAAAAUAAAAAACAAAUGAAAUAAAAGUCUCUAGCUUUUUGUAAACAAGCCGAAAAACCUAAAUGAAUGGCAACCAUGCUAAUCGGUCCAGAAACGGCUCAAAAAACCGUU